rnacentral:lncRNA from 1 species
GGAAAUGGCCUGCAUAUUUUGAAGAAUACUGACAGUGGAGGGAUCUACACUCACCUGCAGCCCAAGCGUGAUGGUUCCAAGCUGUCCUACCAGCUUUUCUGAAGGACCUCGCCUCUUACCGGGUUCCUGCCCUGCCACCUGCAGCAGCUCUGGACCCACAGCACUUCUGGCAGGAGUAGCACAACUUGACUUCUUUCCAUGGAUCUCUGCAACUCACGUGCGAUGGGACACUUGCAAGAGUCAGUUGAUAUCUCUGUUGUGUUUUAAUACAUUGUUUUUUCAUCCAGCUGGUCUCCAGCUUUCCUUCCCCAUAUUUCACGUGAUGUUAACGUCACAAGAAGAUGCAGGAGGUUUGUGGAUCUCCUAGCCCAUGCACUGGAGGUGCUGUGUGGCCUCUGUACACGCAGAGCUGACUCAAUGGCCAGCCUGUCUCUCUCCAGGGAUUGAUUCACUCGGUCAAAGAAGCUCUGUCGCCUGAAAGGACCCAAAGCACUGCUUCCCAGGGAACGGCUCCUUCGGGAAGGCUGGAUUAGAGCUUCUGCCUCUCUGGACUCAAAAAGGCCUUUUAGAUAAAUUAAAGCAGGGCAUAUGAAGUUAUAGGUAACUUAUAAAAGAAAGCAGAUAAUAGAGAAAAAAAAGCCUUUUAACAGUAAAAUAUGUUCAAGCAAGACUUUUAUAACUAAGUAUCAACAUUUUCCUCUGAUGGAGUGAGACAUUUCUUAGUCUCCCCAGAUCAGGUCCCAGUGUUCAAAAAACAAGCUUACCUUUGCCAUCAACCAAGAUUUUUUUUUUUAAAGAUCACUUUAACACAAGACCAUUGAGUACACUUACAGCUACUCAGUUUAAGGUUUGUUUAUGUGGCGUUUUGCAAACAGACACGAGCAUCUUCUGCCAGUGCUCUGAGACACCAACACUGAUAUGUUUCUUUACACUGCAAAGCCUAAGCUCUAAAUCCUGCUGAGACAGGAGAAAAUAGCUUGGGUACAAAAUUGUGCUAACGCAGUUACCUAGCUUUUGGGUGACUGAGAACAUGAGCAGAGUUUGCUUGCACCUUCCUGCUAAGGACAGCAUGGACUUGAGCAGCACUUACUGCAUGGAACUGAUGGUGGAACGCCCCCUGGGAGGACACGUGCCUUUCUGUGACUCACUCCCUCUAACAGCACUGUCACAGAGCACUACAGAAGCUGUAAUACUUGGAGAAAGCUUUGGGCUUACAGAAUCCUUACUGAAAUGCUUACAUUUGUCACAAAGCUGGCUUAAAUGAGGAUGGCACCAGCUUCAUUAAAAGCAUGAUCCAAACCAUUUUGAGUGACAGGGGAACAGAAGUUUAAUCAAUGACAUUAUAAAGUAAUUACUUAAUAAGAGGAGGAGUGUUUCCUGCUUGAACAGUCCUGGUGAAAUCACUGUUAUCUGUAGUCAUAGCUAACAUUACAGACGAAUUUUUAAAGUAUUUUAAAGGUAUUCAUAAAAAUAUGUAAGACUUCCAUCUUGAGAGAAAGACGAACAGCUUCUCAACCCAAGCUGCCACUACCAGCUACAGUACCUGCAUUAUGCUGGCUGUACGCAGCACGGCAUUACGACAUUCUCUUUCGAUGCAUCAAGAACUAUGGCCAUAGAACAUGCUGGCCCACUGCAAUGAUUUUUUUUUUUAGCCAUUUUUAUAUUUGGAUAAAACAGCUACAGAUUUCAGUACCGUGUCUGUGUUUAAAAUGAGCGUCAGUUUCAGGCAUCCUGCUGUCUGCUGCCUGCUUCUUCCUCACGGACUGCCUCCGAUAGCCAGCUGUCCUGUGCUGACAGCAGCAUCAACCAUAGUAACGUGAGCUGGCUCCCUCUGGGGACUCUAGACACAAGGAGAAAUGCAAUCUGUAAUCCAGG